AUGCGUUUUGUGCAGCGCAUCCAGGAGUCUGAGGUGAAGGAGGCUUUAAAAAGGAUGAAAGGAGGCAAGGCAAUGGGCCCUGAUUGUAUCCCCAUUGAGGUGUGGAAAGGUCUCGGGGACAUAGCGAUAGUAUGGCUAACCAAGCUUUUCAACCUCAUUUUUCGGGCAAACAAGAUGCCAGAAGAAUGGAGACGGAGUAUAUUAGUACCAAUCUUCAAGAACAAGGGGGAUGUUCAGAGUUGUACUAAUUACCGUGGAAUUAAGCUGAUGAGCCAUACAAUGAAGCUAUGGGAGAGAGUCAUUGAGCACCGCUUAAGAAGAAUGACAAGCGUGACCAAAAAUUAG
rnacentral:rRNA from 1 species